AACACGUGAAUAACCUACCUCAAAGUCUGGGAUAACCAUUGGAAACAGUGACUAAUACCGGAUAAAACCCAAGUGCACAUGCACUAAGGUUAAAAGCUGCGUUUGCAGCGCUUUAAGAUGGAUUCGCGGUGCAUUAGUUAGUUGGUGAGGUAAAGGCUCACCAAGACGAUGAUGCAUAGCCGAGUUGAGAGACUGACCGGCCACAUUGGGACUGAGACACGGCCCAAACUCCUACGGGAGGCUGCAGUAGGGAAUCUUCCACAAUGGGCGCAAGCCUGAUGGAGCAACGCCGCGUGUGUGAUGAAGGCUUUCGGGUCGUAAAGCACUGUUGUAUGGGAAGAACGGGUUUAAGAGGAAAUGCUUAGACAGUGACGGUACCAUACCAGAAAGGGACGGCUAAAUACGUGCCAGCAGCCGCGGUAAUACGUAUGUCCCGAGCGUUAUCCGGAUUUAUUGGGCGUAAAGCGAGCGCAGACGGUUGCUUAAGUCUGAAGUGAAAGCCCACAGCUCAACUGUGGAAUGGCUUUGGAAACUGGGCAACUUGAGUACAGUAGAGGUAAGUG
rnacentral:rRNA from 1 species